UUGGUUAAGUUAGAAAGGGCGCACGGUGGAUGCCUUGGCACUAGGAGCCGAAGAAGGACGGGACUAACACCGAUAUGCUUUGGGGAGCUGUACGUAAGCGUUGAUCCAGAGAUUUCCGAAUGGGGGAACCCACUAUCUUUAGUCGGAUAGUAUCCUUACGUGAAUACAUAGCGUGAGGAAGGCAGACCCAGGGAACUGAAACAUCUAAGUACCUGGAGGAAGAGAAAGAAAAAUCGAUUUCCUGAGUAGCGGCGAGCGAAACGGAAAGAGCCCAAACCAAGAAGCUUGCUUCUUGGGGUUGUAGGACACUCUAUACGGAGUUACAAAAGAAAGUUAUAAAUGAAGCGGUCUGGAAAGGCCCGCCAAAGACGGUAACAGCCCGGUAGUUGAAAUGGCUUUCCCUCCAGAGUGGAUCCUGAGUACGGCGGAACACGUGAAAUUCCGUCGGAAUCCGGGAGGACCAUCUCCCAAGGCUAAAUACUCCCUAGUGACCGAUAGUGAACCAGUACCGUGAGGGAAAGGUGAAAAGCACCCCGGAAGGGGAGUGAAACAGUUCCUGAAACCGUGUGCCUACAAGUAGUUAGAGCCCGUUAAUGGGUGAUAGCGUGCCUUUUGUAGAAUGAACCGGCGAGUUACGAUUUGUUGCAAGGUUAAGCGGAAAAAGCGGAGCCGUAGCGAAAGCGAGUCUGAAUAGGGCGCAUAAGUAACAGGUCGUAGACCCGAAACCAGGUGAUCUACCCAUGUCCAGGAUGAAGGUAAGGUAAUACUUACUGGAGGUCCGAACCCACGCACGUUGAAAAGUGCGGGGAUGAGGUGUGGGUAGCGGAGAAAUUCCAAUCGAACUUGGAGAUAGCUGGUUCUCUCCGAAAUAGCUUUAGGGCUAGCCUCGAGGUAAAGAGUCAUGGAGGUAGAGCACUGUUUGGACUAGGGGCCCUUCUCGGGUUACCGAAUUCAGAUAAACUCCGAAUGCCAUGUACUUAUACUCGGGAGUCAGACUGCGAGUGAUAAGAUCCGUAGUCGAAAGGGAAACAGCCCAGACCACCAGUUAAGGUCCCCAAAUAUAUGUUAAGUGGAAAAGGAUGUGGGGUUGCUUAGACAACCAGGAUGUUGGCUUAGAAGCAGCCACCAUUGAAAGAGUGCGUAAUAGCUCACUGGUCGAGUGACCCCGCGCCGAAAAUGUACCGGGGCUAAACAUAUUACCGAAACUGUGGAUGAACCUCUUUAGAGGUUCGUGGUAGGAGAGCGUUCUAAGGGCGGUGAAGUCAGACCGGAAGGACUGGUGGAGCGCUUAGAAGUGAGAAUGCCGGUAUGAGUAGCGAAAGAAGGGUGAGAAUCCCUUCCACCGAAUAUCUAAGGUUUCCUGAGGAAGGCUCGUCCGCUCAGGGUUAGUCGGGACCUAAGCCGAGGCCGAUAGGCGUAGGCGAUGGACAACAGGUAGAGAUUCCUGUACCAGUGCUAAUUGUUUAACCGAUGGGGUGACACAGAAGGAUAGGGAAUCGCACGAAUGGAAAUGUGCGUCCAAGCAGUGAGUGUGAG
rnacentral:rRNA from 2 species